UACGAAGGGGCUAGCGUUGUUCGGAAUCACUGGGCGUAAAGGGCGCGUAGGCGGCUUUGUAAGUCGGGGGUGAAAGCCUGUGGCUCAACCACAGAAUUGCCUUCGAUACUGCAUGGCUUGAGACCGGAAGAGGUAAGUGGAACUGCGAGUGUAGAGGUGAAAUUCGAUAGAUAUUGCAAGAACACCAGUGGCGAAGGCGGCUUACUGGUCCG
rnacentral:rRNA from 1 species